ensembl:lncRNA
AUGACAACAUCCUUAUGUGUGGACUGGGAUGAGUUUUAUGAGCUGUCAAGACCUUCCUCACUUACAGCAAACACUGUGACCAAACAAGGAGGGAGCAGGAGCAUCACUGGGAAUGGCAACCCCAUGGGAAUCUGGAUGAAGUGUCCAUUUCACCUUCGGAAACAUCUCAGCAUUUUGAGCAGCUCAGAGGUCAGGAAUGCUGUUGUCAUCAGGGUUAAAGCUGUGUCCUGAAUAAAUACCAAGUAAGGAGGAAGAUGACUCAGUCCUCAGAGCUGCCUAAACCUCAUACUCCUCUGAUAUUUUAAGCAACAGAGAGUGGUAAGCAGCUGUCAGAUAUCUUUGCUUUUUUGUUCAAGCAAAGCUUAGCCGGUUCCAUUUGGGAAGAAAAUAUUCAUCAUUUCCAGCCCAUUUUAAGUUCUCCCUUCUCAGAAUUGUUACUGCACACAUAGCCUGGACCACACAACUUAGUUUUAUACAGUUUCGUCUCAUUUUCUAAUUAUUUCUUGAUUCCAAGUGGGUAUUAGGAUUGUGGUGGAAAGAGACUCUACCUUAUACUCCUCUUAUAUUCUCUUCAAAUUUCAAGAUUAGUGUUGGGUCCAAAGCAGGUGGUGCAUACAAACAUCAAUUUUAUUUGUAUAGGACUUUAAAAAUGAACAAGUUAAUUCUACAUUCAUUCUUGCCUUUGGACUUCAUCACAACCCUGUAAAGUUAACUGUUGUUAUCUCUACUUUAUCAGCCAGGAAACUAAGGUUUGGAGAGAUUAAGUAUGCUGCCAAAGAUCAUGUAACUAGUAAUUAGCAGGGCCUGAAUAUAUACAUAUAUUCUAUUCUUUUUCUGAAAAUGUAUUCAUAUAAACUCCAUAAAUCAAAUGUAAAUUCCAUAAAUUCAAUCUUAAAUUUUGUUUGAUAAGACCUCAACUGAAAGCUUUAAAAAUAUAUAUUUAAUUUCUUUAAAGGUAUUGGAUUACUGAGGCCAACACUUUUCCUCUGGCUCUGGAAUGAGAACACCAUUUGUAAUUUUUAAAGAUGUAGAGCUAGAACUUAAUUACUUGUACACAGAAAAGUUCAUCUGUAUACAUGUAAAAAGAAAUGGCACAGAAAAAUUCCCACCUAAUAAGAAAACACAAAUUCAUUUGUAUUUUGGUUAAUGUGUUCAUAGCAGAUAUUCAGAGAAUUCACAAUAUUUGGGGGACAUUAUUAUUUAUCAUAAAGGUAAGGAAGGGUCAGCAACUGUCCGUGGUUAUAGUGAGCAAAAAUGGUGUAAGUAGUUGAAAGUGUUAGACUCAUUUGAUUCAGUCAACAGGGAUUUAUGAGCACCUGCAUUUUCUGUCAUAGCUGGGGAGUGAUUUGGAACAUGAAAUUGGGGAAGGUCAGAUACUCUGGGAGUUCAAUCACGAUAACUCAGUUUAUAUACUAAAAUGAUUCAGGAGGAGCUGGAGAGCUCCCUAACUUUUUCAUUUUGGUCUCAUGCUGCAAAUGGACAGCAACUCUGAGAUUGAUGGAAGACACUUGCCUCAAUUAUUAUGUUAUGAUUCAUAGGUUCCUGGUAUAGAACCUAAUUGAGUAUUUUGUCUUUAGAGGCUUCCUCUUUCAGUUAUUGCUAGGCUAGAGUAAAUAAACAUCUUAUUUAUAUCA